UACGUAGGGGGCUAGCGUUGUCCGGAAUCAUUGGGCGUAAAGAGCGCGUAGGCGGCCAGAUAAGUCCGGUGUGAAAGCCCGGGGCUCAACCCCGGGAGGCGGAUGGAUACUGCUGGGCUCGAGUCCGGAAGAGGCAAGUGGAAUUCCCGGUGUAGCGGUGAAAUGCGCAGAUAUCGGGAGGAACACCAAUGGCGAAGGCAGCUUGCUGGGACGGUACUGACGCUGAGACGCGAAAGCGUGGGGAGCAAACAGG
rnacentral:rRNA from 1 species